rnacentral:rRNA from 1 species
GACGAACGCUGGCGGCGUGCUUAACACAUGCAAGUCGUACGGUAAGGCCCUUUCGGGGGUACACGAGUGGCGAACGGGUGAGUAACACGUGAGUAACCUGCCCACAACUUUGGGAUAACGCUAGGAAACUGGUGCUAAUACUGGAUAUGUGCUCCUGCUGCAUGGUGGGGGUUGGAAAGCUCCGGCGGUUGUGGAUGGACUCGCGGCCUAUCAGCUUGUUGGUGGGGUAGUGGCCUACCAAGGCGGCGACGGGUAGCCGGCCUGAGAGGGUGACCGGCCACAUUGGGACUGAGAUACGGCCCAGACUCCUACGGGAGGCAGCAGUGGGGAAUAUUGCACAAUGGGCGCAAGCCUGAUGCAGCAACGCCGCGUGCGGGAUGACGGCCUUCGGGUUGUAUACCGCUUUCAGCAGGGACGAAGCUUUUUGUGACGGUACCUGCAGAAGAAGCACCGGCUAACUACGUG